CUCAGAUUGAACGCUGGCGGCAUNCCUUACACAUGCAAGUCGAACGGCAGCACGGGAGCAAUCCUGGUGGCGAGUGGCGAACGGGUGAGUAAAGUAUCGGAACGUGCCCAGUCGUGGGGGAUAACGUAGCGAAAGUUACGCUAAUACCGCAUACGAUCUAUGGAUGAAAGCGGGGGAUCGCAAGACCUCGCGCGAUUGGAGCGGCCGAUAUCAGAUUAGGUAGUUGGUGGGGUAAAGGCUCACCAAGCCGACGAUCUGUAGCUGGUCUGAGAGGACGACCAGCCACACUGGGACUGAGACACGGCCCAGACUCCUACGGGAGGCAGCAGUGGGGAAUUUUGGACAAUGGGCGCAAGCCUGAUCCAGCCAUGCCGCGUGCAGGAUGAAGGCCUUCGGGUUGUAAACUGCUUUUGUACGGAACGAAAAGGUUUGGCCUAAUAAGCUGAGCUCAUGACGGUACCGAAGAAUAG
rnacentral:rRNA from 2 species